AGAGUUUGAUCAUGGCUCAGGACGAACGCUGGCGGCGUGCCUAAUACAUGCAAGUAGAACGCUGAAGAGAGGAGCUUGCUCUUCUUGGAUGAGUUGCGAACGGGUGAGUAACGCGUAGGUAACCUGCCUUGUAGCGGGGGAUAACUAUUGGAAACGAUAGCUAAUACCGCAUAACAAUGGAUGACACAUGUCAUUUAUUUGAAAGGGGCAAUUGUUCCACUACAAGAUGGACCUGCGUUGUAUUAGCUAGUAGGUGAGGUAAUGGCUCACCUAGGCGACGAUACAUAGCCGACCUGAGAGGGUGAUCGGCCACACUGGGACUGAGACACGGCCCAGACUCCUACGGGAGGCAGCAGUAGGGAAUCUUCGGCAAUGGGGGCAACCCUGACCGAGCAACGCCGCGUGAGUGAAGAAGGUUUUCGGAUCGUAAAGCUCUGUUGUAAGUCAAGAACGGGUGUGAGAGUGGAAAGUUCACACUGUGACGGUAGCUUACCAGAAAGGGACGGCUAACUACGUGCCAGCAGCCGCGGUAAUACGUAGGUCCCGAGCGUUGUCCGGAUUUAUUGGGCGUAAAGCGAGCGCAGGCGGUUUGAUAAGUCUGAAGUUAAAGGCUGUGGCUCAACCAUAGUUCGCUUUGGAAACUGUCAAACUUGAGUGCAGAAGGGGAGAGUGGAAUUCCAUGUGUAGCGGUGAAAUGCGUAGAUAUAUGGAGGAACACCGGUGGCGAAAGCGGCUCUCUGGUCUGUAACUGACGCUGAGGCUCGAAAGCGUGGGGAGCGAACAGGAUUAGAUACCCUGGUAGUCCACGCCGUAAACGAUGAGUGCUAGGUGUUGGAUCCUUUCCGGGAUUCAGUGCCGCAGCUAACGCAUUAAGCACUCCGCCUGGGGAGUACGACCGCAAGGUUGAAACUCAAAGGAAUUGACGGGGGCCCGCACAAGCGGUGGAGCAUGUGGUUUAAUUCGAAGCAACGCGAAGAACCUUACCAGGUCUUGACAUCCCGAUGCUAUUUCUAGAGAUAGAAAGUUACUUCGGUACAUCGGUGACAGGUGGCGCAUGGUUGUCGUCAGCUCGUGUCGUGAGAUGUUGGGUUAAGUCCCGCAACGAGCGCAACCCCUAUUGUUAGUUGCCAUCAUUCAGUUGGGCACUCUAGCGAGACUGCCGGUAAUAAACCGGAGGAAGGUGGGGAUGACGUCAAAUCAUCAUGCCCCUUAUGACCUGGGCUACACACGUGCUACAAUGGUUGGUACAACGAGUUGCGAGUCGGUGACGGCGAGCUAAUCUCUUAAAGCCAAUCUCAGUUCGGAUUGUAGGCUGCAACUCGCCUACAUGUAGUCGGAAUCGCUAGUAAUCGCGGAUCAGCACGCCGCGGUGAAUACGUUCCCGGGCCUUGUACACACCGCCCGUCACACCACGAGAGUUUGUAACACCCGAAGUCGGUGAGGUAACCUUUUGGAGCCAGCCGCCUAAGGUGGGACAGAUGAUUGGGGUGAAGUCGUAACAAGGUA
rnacentral:rRNA from 1 species